GAGGAGGACGGGGGAUGAGGAGGGGUGCUAGAUACCGGGGAUAAAGCUAGAGCUGAGCUGGGCUUAUCUGCAGGAGCCAUUCUCCCCAGGGCCGGAUUUGGGAGCACCUACCUCCAGGGGGCCUUUCCUGCGAUUGAAAACAUUUUGCCAUGAGACAGAGAGAAAAUGUUGCAGUUUUAUCAUGAGGCUAAGAGAUACAGUAUAGUAUACUGUAAAUGUUGCAGUUUUAUCAUGAGGUUAAGAGAUACAGUAUAGUAUACUGUAAAUGUUGCAGUUUUAUCAUGAGGCUAAGAGAUACAGUAUAGUAUACUGUAAAUGUUGCAGUUUUAUCAUGAGGCUAAGAGAUACAGUAUAGUAUACUGUAAAUGUUGCAGUUUUAUCAUGAGGCUAAGAGAUACAGUAUAGUAUACUGUAAAUGUUGCAGUUUUAUCAUGAGGCUAAGAGAUACAGUAUAGUAUACUGUAAAUGUUGCAGUUUUAUCAUGAGGCUAAGAGAUACAGUAUAGUAUACUGUAAAUGUUGCAGUUUUAUCAUGAGGCUAAGAGAUACAGUAUAGUAUACUGUAAAUGUUGCAGUUUUAUCAUGAGGCUAAGAGAUACAGUAUAGUAUACUGUAAAUGUUGCAGUUUUAUCAUGAGGCUAAGAGAUACAGUAUAGUAUACUGUAAAUGUUGCAGUUUUAUCAUGAGGCUAAGAGAUACAGUAUAGUAUACUGUAAAUGUUGCAGUUUUAUCAUGAGGCUAAGAGAUACAGUAUAGUAUACUGUAAAUGUUGCAGUUUUAUCAUGAGGCUAAGAGAUACAGUAUAGUAUACUGUAAAUGUUGCAGUUUUAUCAUGAGGCUAAGAGAUACAGUAUAGUAUACUGUAAAUGUUGCAGUUUUAUCAUGAGGCUAAGAGAUACAGUAUAGUAUACUGUAAAUGUUGCAGUUUUAUCAUGAGGCUAAGAGAUACAGUAUAGUAUACUGUAAAUGUUGCAGUUUUAUCAUGAGGUUAAGAGAUACAGUAUAGUAUACUGUAAAUGUUGCAGUUUUAUCAUGAGGUUAAGAGAUACAGUAUAGUAUACUGUAAAUGUUGCAGUUUUCAAGUGAAUUUCCUGCAAUUCUACACAUUUUGCCACGACUU